GUGUAACUGCUGAGGAUGUAAAGAAUGUC
rnacentral:piRNA from 1 species